rnacentral:rRNA from 1 species
UGUGAAUUGCAGAAUCCCGUGAACCAUCGAGUCUUUGAACGCACAGUUGCGCCCGAAGCCCUCGGGCCGAGGGCACGCCUGCCUGGGCGUCACGC